UUCUCCUCUCCUGGAUAGUUGUUCUCAGCUGUGCUGUGCGGUGAUUUAAACAACGCUUUGAUGCUGUGGGAUGUUGGUGCUCACAAAUCAGUUAUAUUUUUACAGCAUGUCUUUAAGAUUGAUAGGCCAGAUGUCAUGAGUACACUGGUGAGAGCACUUACAAGAUCAAGACCUCACUCUAGAUCCAGGAGAUGCUGCUUUCCUGUGGGAUUUAUCCUUUUUCUUAUUAGAAGCUCAACAUCUGUUCUUUGGCGGCUGAAGCAAAAUGUGGCUAAUGG
rnacentral:lncRNA from 1 species